UCCGUAGGUGAACCUGCGGAAGGAUCAUUAGUGAACGCCUCACGGGCUUAUAACUAUUCCAAACCUCUGUGAACCGUGCCCUUCGGGGCUAUUUUACAAACAUGGUGUAAUGAACGUCAUAUAUCAUAACAAAACAAAACUUUCAACAACGGAUCUCUUGGCUCUCGCAUCGAUGAAGAACGCAGCGAAAUGCGAUAAGUAAUGUGAAUUGCAGAAUUCAGUGAAUCAUCGAAUCUUUGAACGCACCUUGCGCCCUCUGGUAUUCCGGAGGGCAUGCCUGUUUGAGUGUCAUGUAGACUCAAUCCCUCGGGUUUCCGAGGAGAUUGGACUUGGGUGUUGCCGCUCUGCCGGCUCGCCUUAAAAGACUUAGCGGGAUAGCACCGUAGUCGGCGUAAUAAGUUUCGUCGGUGAAGGUUGUGAUGACUGCUUACAAUCGCCCUCGGGCAAUUUUUGACUCUGACCUCAAAUCAGGUAGGACUACCCGCUGAACUUAAGCAUAUCAAUAAGCGGAGGA
rnacentral:rRNA from 1 species